UGAUCGAUUAGAUUGGAAUCUUGGUCCAAUGCAUCUGGGCUUAAUACAACCUGUGCCUAUUAGGCGUUGGGAUUUAGGCCCAGUCGGAAAAUAGGAUAAAAUUCCAGAGAGAACUGAAGGAGCAGCGGGUGGCGUGCGCGCGCGCGAGAGAGGGCUGGAGGAAUAGGAGCAUUUGGGGGAACAAGAGUGCUGGAAAUAGUGAAGAAGCACGAUUCAGGCGGCCUCGUCUGGAAGAGAAUUAAGUUCACCUCUACCCGCAAAGCCAACGCCAAGAAGCGUCUCCGUCGCGAUUGGCAGAAUGAAGCCGUUUUGAGGGUGUGUUCAGAACCGCCUCCUCCGAGAGCAACCGACAUAGCUGGUGUUGAGAAAGACGUUGAAGGGCCAACUUAAAUGACAGUUAAAGAAGACCCUACAUGAGCCAGAGAGGAAUUUGGUGACCCUCGGGUUAAUGUAGCAGAAAGUUUUACAUAGCAAUGGUUGUAUGGGAUCAUUGACCACUUUUCCCCUAAUGUUAAAUACCAUUGCUAUGAUCUUAGUAGUUGGUCAAUGGACAUACGCAAUCAUAAUCACAGAUCUCUUAUCAGCAGUAGCUCUGUACAUGAAAAGGAAAUAUGAAAAAGUCGUUUGCUUACGAUGUUCUUGCUUGUUUUAAGGUUCAGUUGAUAAGAAAACUCAAAACUCAGCUGCUGCCUGUUUGCUUCUCGUGUGGGCACUCGACAUUGGUGGAAAAGGAAUGACAUUUCCACAGGGAAGAGUGGUGUGAAAGAUGAAGUGGUCUAAUUUGGCACGUUAAGGGAGUUGGAUGGAAUGGUGGACCCAUAACUACCAAAUGAAAAGGUAUGAGAAACCCACCUUCUUGUCUGAUUUUGACAUUGGAAGGGACAAUUAGACUUGGGAAUUCCUUCUUUCCAUACGUCUCUCUUUACUAUUUUGGCCACUUGAAGAGA